rnacentral:rRNA from 1 species
UACGUAGGCAGCAAGCGUUGUUCGGAAUUACUGGGCGUAAAGAGUACGUAGGUGGUUUGCCAAGUCCGAUGUGAAAUCUCCUGGCUUAACUGGGAGGGUGCGUUAGAUACUGGCAGGCUUGAGUGUGGGAGAGGAGAGCGGAAUUCCUGGUGUAGCGGUGAAAUGCGUAGAUAUCAGGAGGAACACCGGUGGCGAAGGCGGGUCUCUGGGCCGAUACUGACGCUGAGGAGCGAAAGCGUGGGGAGCGAACAGG